rnacentral:rRNA from 1 species
CCUACGGGAGGCAGCAGUGAGGAAUAUUGGUCAAUGGACGAGAGUCUGAACCAGCCAAGUCGCGUGAAGGAUGAAGGAUCUAUGGUUUGUAAACUUCUUUUAUACGAGAAUAAAGUGAGGAACGUGUUCCUUUCUGUAUGUACCAUAUGAAUAAGCAUCGGCUAACUCCGUGCCAGCAGCCGCGGUAAUACGGAGGAUGCGAGCGUUAUCCGGAUUUAUUGGGUUUAAAGGGUGCGUAGGUGGUUAAUUAAGUCAGCGGUGAAAGUUUGUGGCUCAACCAUGAAAUUGCCGUUGAAACUGGUUGACUUGAGUAUAGUUGAGGUAGGCGGAAUGUAUGGUGUAGCGGUGAAAUGCAUAGAGAUCACACAGAACUCCGAUUGCGAAGGCAGCUUACUAAGCUAUAACUGACACUGAGGCACGAAAGCGUGGGGAGCAAACAGGAUUAGAUACCCGGGUAGUC